rnacentral:misc_RNA from 1 species
UUGGAAUACACUUUUUCUUCUUCAACAAGCCUUAAGACAUUCUCAUAAGCUUUUCUUUGUUCCAGAGAGGCAAUUUGAAGUUCUAAAUUCCUCACAUCAUUCUUAAUUAAUAUAAUAAAGCUCAACACAUUAUAGUUCAAAAGACUUAGGGGACCAGAAGCUUGAAAGUUACAUCCUACCCACUACCCACAUAAUAUAGGCACAAUGGAGUGCCUAAAUAAUGUAAGCCGCUGCGUCUUUAUCAUGAUAAGAGAAACAUUUAUAUAUAGGUUUAACUCAUGCUGGAAUUUGG